ACGCACGCUGGCGGCGUGCUUAACGCAUGCCAGUCGAACGGAAAGGCCCCUUUGGGGGUACUCGAGUGGCGAACGGGUGAGUAACACGUGAGUAACCUGCCCUUGACUUCGGGAUAACUUCAGGAAACUGGGGCUAAUACCGGAUAGGAAUCCUUGCUGCAUGGUGGGGGUUGGAAAGCUUCGGCGGUUUUGGAUGGACUCGCGGCUUAUCAGCUUGUUGGUGGGGUAGUGGCUUACCAAGGCUUUGACGGGUAGCCGGCCUGAGAGGGCGACCGGCCACAUUGGGACUGAGAUACGGCCCAGACUCCUACGGGAGGCAGCAGUGGGGAAUAUUGCACAAUGGGCGGAAGCCUGAUGCAGCAACGCCGCGUGCGGGAUGACGGCCUUCGGGUUGUAAACCGCUUUCAGCAGGGGCGAAGCUUGUGGUGACGGUACCUGCAGAAGAAGCACCGGCUAACUACGUG
rnacentral:rRNA from 1 species